AGUGAACGCUGGCGGUAGGCCUAACACAUGCAAGUCGAACGGCAGCACAGUAAGAGCUUGCUCUUACGGGUGGCGAGUGGCGGACGGGUGAGGAAUACAUCGGAAUCUACUUUUUCGUGGGGGAUAACGUAGGGAAACUUACGCUAAUACCGCAUACGACCUACGGGUGAAAGCAGGGGAUCUUCGGACCUUGCGCGUUUGAAUGAGCCGAUGUCGGAUUAGCUAGUUGGCGGAGUAAAGGCCCACCAAGGCGACGAUCCGUAGCUGGUCUGAGAGGAUGAUCAGCCACACUGGAACUGAGACACGGUCCAGACUCCUACGGGAGGCAGCAGUGGGGAAUAUUGGACAAUGGGCGCAAGCCUGAUCCAGCCAUACCGCGUGGGUGAAGAAGGCCUUCGGGUUGUAAAGCCCUUUUGUUGGGAAAGAAAAGCAGCAGGUUAAUACCCCGCUGUUCUGACGGUACCCAAAGAAUAAGCACCGGCUAACUUCGUG
rnacentral:rRNA from 1 species